CGGGCUGCCUCCGCAUGGACCUACACGGCAGCGACGGCGACGCGCCCGUGGCUGAUGCCUUACCCGGUCUGUCUGGACGAAAGCGCAUCCGCAGUUUUGAAGAUAUAAGCAAAUUGCUGAUCUUUAGAACAGCAAGCAAGUAUCACACCUUUGCUACAGGACCAGAAAACUGCAACAGCUCAUUCCACCAGUUCCAGGUGGGAGGCAGCGCUGAACCAGCCAAACAGGACUGGCGGAAAGGGUUCCAAGGGUGUUUCAGAACAAAGGAAGACUUUAGACCUCCAGUUUGUGCCUCUUGUCCUGUCACCGGACACCACAGAGAAGAGAAAUUUUAG
rnacentral:lncRNA from 1 species